CGAGUUUACAACUCCCAAACCCCUGUGAACAUACCAAUUGUUGCCUCGGCGGAUCAGCCCGCUCCCGGUAAAACGGGACGGCCCGCCAGAGGACCCCUAAACUCUGUUUCUAUAUGUAACUUCUGAGUAAAACCAUAAAUAAAUCAAAACUUUCAACAACGGAUCUCUUGGUUCUGGCAUCGAUGAAGAACGCAGCAAAAUGCGAUAAGUAAUGUGAAUUGCAGAAUUCAGUGAAUCAUCGAAUCUUUGAACGCACAUUGCGCCCGCCAGUAUUCUGGCGGGCAUGCCUGUUCGAGCGUCAUUUCAACCCUCAAGCCCAGCUUGGUGUUGGGACUCGCGAGUCAAAUCGCGUUCCCCAAAUUGAUUGGCGGUCACGUCGAGCUUCCAUAGCGUAGUAGUAAAACCCUCGUUACUGGUAAUCGUCGCGGCCACGCCGUUAAACCCCAACUUCUGAAUGUUGACCUCGGAUCAGGUAGGAAUACCCGCUGAACUUAAGCAUAU
rnacentral:rRNA from 1 species